UCAGUUAGCCAGAUGGUUGCGGGCUUGGCGUAAGGUCAGGUCCGAGGAAAGUCCGAGCAUCAAGAGAACAGGGUGCCGGUUAACUGCCGGUGAGGGUGACCUUAAGGAAAGUGCAACAGAAAUAAACCGCCACGCACUUUGUGUGGUAAGGGUGGAAAGGCGGGGUAAGAGCCCACCGCCGCGGUGGUAACAACGCGGGCACAUGUAAACCCCACCUGAUGCAAGGCUAAGUGAUAACAAUAAGCGUUCUCUCUGUUAUCCAAAAACGCCGCUUGAGCGAUUUAGAGAUAUCUCGCCUAGAUAGAUGACCAUCAAAUACAGAACUCGGCUUACAGACUAACUGACCAU
rnacentral:RNase_P_RNA from 1 species